rnacentral:rRNA from 1 species
AACGAACGCUGGCGGCAGGCUUAACACAUGCAAGUCGAACGAGGUCUUCGGAUCUAGUGGCAGACAGGUGAGGAACACGUGGGAACAUCCCUUUCAGUUCGGAAUAACGUUGGGAAACUAACGCUAAUACCGGAUACGUCCUUCGGGAGAAAGAUUUAUCGCUGAAAGAUUGGCCCGCGUCUGAUUAGCUAGUUGGUGAGGUAACGGCUCACCAAGGCUACGAUCAGUAGCUGAUCUGAGAGGAUGAUCAGCCACAUUGGGACUGAGACACGGCCCAAACUCCUACGGGAGGCAGCAGUGGGGAAUAUUGGACAAUGGGCGCAAGCCUGAUCCAGCCAUGCCGCGUGAGUGAUGACGGCCUUCGGGUUGUAAAGCUCUUUUGUCCGGGAAGAUAAUGACUGUACCGGAAGAAUAAGCCCCGGCAAACUUCGUGCCAGCCGCCGCAGUAA